UAUUUUCACACAUGAACUCAGUUUAAUUUACAGUUAAGUUUUAUUCUUUAUCCAGCUUGAGGGGCUGCAGUCUGACAGAGAUCAGCUGUUCUUCUCUGGCUUCAGCUCUGAGGUCAAACCCCUCUCAUCUGAGAAAACUGGAUCUGAGGUACAACUUCCUGCAGGACUCAGCAGUGAAGGAGCUGCUUGAUCUACAGCAGAGUUCAACCUGUCGACUGGAGACUCUGAGGUGGGGGUGGUCUUAGUGGAGCUGAGUGUGAAGAGGAGAGUGUGUGUGGACGGAGGCUGAGCUGUGUCCUGAGGAUCCAGAGGCUGAAGCAGCAGCAGCUUGUGUGUAGAGCGGCUCUGACUGGGCCUUGUUGCUGGGAGGCAGAGUGGAGACAGAGCUCCAGAAGAAUCAUGAGGAGGUUGUUGUAAUAUGUAACUUCACCACUAGAUGGCCCUCGCUACCGAUUGUGUUUAUUCUCAUGAAGAAUGUCUUUAUUGAAAUGACACAACACAAGCAGAAUCUAUAAACCCUCUGUAAAGAGUCACAUAUAUAAGUUUUUUUUUAAUUAUUUUCCACCUUUGUCCCUCAGUAUGUCUCCAUGUGUGUAGAACCACAUUCUGUGUAUAUGUUUGUUUAUGAUCUUAAAGUUUCUGGAUUCACGUCACAAAUUGAUUUAGUUCAACACAAAGUUAAACACAAUCAAAUCACUUUGAGAUUAAAAUCAGAGUUUUGUCUUUGACACAAAAGAUGAAAAACUCUGGACUUAAAAAUGGGAUAUUUUCAUUUCUGCAUCUGUUGCAGAGCGGUGGUGGCUUUUCUACUUUUGACCCACAGGUGGCGCUGCAGUAUAACAACAGCACAUCCCAGUCGAAGCCUUUAUAUUCAGUCUAUGAGUCAAACACAUGGAUCAUUUCUUCUGUGACAAACCAGAUGUAACGAGAAGAAAAACAUCUCAGAGAGAAAAGUUCUGUUUCUACUUGUCUCUGCUUUAAUUCUCAAUAAACAUCCUUCCACCGAC